CCUGUCACGGAUGGGGGUUAGUUUUUGGUGUUAAGUGGAUUUGAAAUUACUAAAAUGCCCUUGUUAUUAAAAACCUAAAUCCUUCUUUAUCUUCUUCUUCUAGAUCAGAACCACCAUCACCAACACCUCUGUCAUAACCACCACCACCUACCUCCCACCUUCGACUACUACCAUCAUGUAAAUCGCUGCUAAUCAAGGUCUACUCCUGAUCAAUGGCGUCCAGUGCAAAAACGCAGUCAAGUGUUAACAAAAAAGUGUGGUUCUACUCUUUACUGCUCACAAUUCAAUACGGUGCUCAACCUCUGAUCUCCAAACGCUGCAUCGGUAGUGGAUUUACUGGUUUGAUUAUGAAGUUAAGCUGUGGUUUAAUUAAGGUGAAUUGAUGUGGAAAUUAUCGUGAUAAUCGUAAUCGUGUAGACAAUUUACUACUUGUUUGUUGUUGUAGGUGUUUGUGUGAGAGGUUCGAGUGAUGAUGUACUUGUAAAACAAUGGGAGUUUACUAGUUAUAUAGCUUUUUAAAACUCAAUAACUAGAGAUAUUGAUUUGAUGGUGGAUUUUGCUAUUCGAUCCUUGAGAUUUUGUUGUUCA